UACGGAGGAUCCAAGCGUUAUCCGGAAUCAUUGGGUUUAAAGGGUCCGUAGGCGGUUUUGUAAGUCAGUGGUGAAAGCCCAUCGCUCAACGGUGGAACGGCCAUUGAUACUGCAAGACUUGAAUUAUUAGGAAGUAACUAGAAUAUGUAGUGUAGCGGUGAAAUGCUUAGAUAUUACAUGGAAUACCAAUUGCGAAGGCAGGUUACUACUAAUGGAUUGACGCUGAUGGACGAAAGCGUGGGGAGCAAACAGG
rnacentral:rRNA from 1 species